AGUGGGAUAGCUGGGUCAAAUGGUGGUUCCCAUUCCAAGUUUUCUAAGGAAUCGUCAUACUGCUUUCCAGAUUGGUUGCACCAAUUUGGAGUCCCACCAGCAAU
rnacentral:pre_miRNA from 1 species